rnacentral:rRNA from 1 species
UACCAGCACCCCGAGUGGUCGGGACGAUUAUUGGGCCUAAAGCAUCCGUAGCCGGUCAUGCAAGUCCUCCGUUAAAUCCACCUGCUUAACAGAUGGGCUGCGGAGGAUACUACAAGGCUAGGAGGCGGAAGAGGCAAGCGGUACUCAGUGGGUAGGGGUAAAAUCCUCUGAUCCAUUGAAGACCACCAGUGGCGAAGGCGGCUUGCCAAUACGCGCUCGACGGUGAGGGAUGAAAGCUGGGGGAGCAAACCGGAUUAGAUACCCGGGUAGUCCCAGCUGUAAACGAUGCAGACUCGGUGAUGGGCCGGCUUUAUGCCGGCUCAGUGCCGCAGGGAAGCCGUUAAGUCUGCCGCCUGGGGAGUACGGUCGCAAGACUGAAACUCAAAUGAAUUGACGG